rnacentral:rRNA from 1 species
UACGAAGGGGGCAAGCGUUGUUCGGAUUCACUGGGCGUAAAGGGUGCGUAGGCGGUCGGGUAAGUCUGAUGUGAAAUCUCACAGCUUAACUGUGAAACUGCAUUGGAUACUAUCCGGCUCGAGGAAUGGAGGGGAGACUGGAAUACUUGGUGUAGCAGUGAAAUGCGUAGAUAUCAAGUGGAACACCAGUGGCGAAGGCGAGUCUCUGGACAUUUCCUGACGCUGAGGCACGAAAGCCAGGGGAGCAAACGGG